CGGCGUAAAGCGUGGUUAAGAAAAUAAGAGAAAAUAUGGCCGAACAGCUUCAAAGCAGUUAUACGCAUUCGAAGCCACGAAGAACAACCACGAAAGUUGCCCUAAGACCUCUGAUUCCACGAAAGCCAUAAAACAAACUGGGAUUAGAUACCCCACUAUGUAUGGUUGUUAACAUCGAUGGUUUUAUACCCAAACCAUCCGCCUGGGGACUACGAGCAAUAGCUUAAAACCCAAAGGACUUGGCGGUGCUUUAGACCCCCCUAGAGGAGCCUGUUCUAGAACUGAUAACCCCCGUUUAACCUCACCAUCCUUUGUCUCCCCCGCCUAUAUACCACCGUCGUCAGCUUACCCUGUGAAGGAAAAAUAGUAAGCAUAAAUGGCAAAGCCAAAAACGUCAGGUCGAGGUGUAGCGAAUGGGAUGGGAAGAAAUGGGCUACAUUCUCUACUACAGAGAAUACGAAUUGUAAUUUGAAAAAAAUUACCUGAAGGAGGAUUUAGCAGUAAGUAAGGACUAGAGUGCCCUACUGAAAACGGCCCUGAAGCGCGCACACACCGCCCGUCACUCUCUCCAAAUAAACCCUGGAUAUUACCUAAAAUGC
rnacentral:rRNA from 1 species